rnacentral:rRNA from 1 species
CAGGCUUAACACAUGCAAGUCGAGGGGCAUCAGGAAGAAAGCUUGCUUUCUUUGCUGGCGACCGGCGCACGGGUGAGUAACACGUAUCCAACCUGCCCUUUACUCGGGGAUAGCCUUUCGAAAGAAAGAUUAAUACCCGAUAGCAUAAUGAUUCCGCAUGGUUUCAUUAUUAAAGGAUUCCGGUAAAGGAUGGGGAUGCGUUCCAUUAGGUUGUUGGUGAGGUAACGGCCCACCAAGCCUUCGAUGGAUAGGGGUUCUGAGAGGAAGGUCCCCCACAUUGGAACUGAGACACGGUCCAAACUCCUACGGGAGGCAGCAGUGAGGAAUAUUGGUCAAUGGGCGCUAGCCUGAACCAGCCAAGUAGCGUGAAGGAUGAAGGCUCUAUGGGUCGUAAACUUCUUUUAUAUAAGAAUAAAGUGCAGUAUGUAUACUGUUUUGUAUGUAUUAUAUGAAUAAGGAUCGGCUAACUCCGUGCCAGCAGCCGCGGUAAUACGGAGGAUCCGAGCGUUAUCCGGAUUUAUUGGGUUUAAAGGGAGCGUAGGUGGACUGGUAAGUCAGUUGUGAAAGUUUGCGGCUCAACCGUAAAAUUGCAGUUGAUACUGUCAGUCUUGAGUACAGUAGAGGUGGGCGGAAUUCGUGGUGUAGCGGUGAAAUGCUUAGAUAUCACGAAGAACUCCGAUUGCGAAGGCAGCUCACUGGACUGCAACUGACACUGAUGCUCGAAAGUGUGGGUAUCAAACAGGAUUAGAUACCCUGGUAGUCCACACAGUAAACGAUGAAUACUCGCUGUUUGCGAUAUACAGUAAGCGGCCAAGCGAAAGCAUUAAGUAUUCCACCUGGGGAGUACGCCGGCAACGGUGAAACUCAAAGGAAUUGACGGGGGCCCGCACAAGCGGAGGAACAUGUGGUUUAAUUCGAUGAUACGCGAGGAACCUUACCCGGGCUUAAAUUGCAGUGGAAUGAUGUGGAAACAUGUCAGUGAGCAAUCACCGCUGUGAAGGUGCUGCAUGGUUGUCGUCAGCUCGUGCCGUGAGGUGUCGGCUUAAGUGCCAUAACGAGCGCAACCCUUAUCUUUAGUUACUAACAGGUUAUGCUGAGGACUCUAGAGAGACUGCCGUCGUAAGAUGUGAGGAAGGUGGGGAUGACGUCAAAUCAGCACGGCCCUUACGUCCGGGGCUACACACGUGUUACAAUGGGGGGUACAGAAGGCAGCUAGCGGGUGACCGUAUGCUAAUCCCAAAAUCCUCUCUCAGUUCGGAUCGAAGUCUGCAACCCGACUUCGUGAAGCUGGAUUCGCUAGUAAUCGCGCAUCAGCCACGGCGCGGUGAAUACGUUCCCGGGCCUUGUACACACCGCCCGUCAAGCCAUGGGAGCCGGGGGUACCUGAAGUACGUAACCGCAAGGAUCGUCCUAGGGUAAAACUGGUGACUGGGGCUAAGUCGUA